CAGCACCUCAAGUGGUCAGGAUGAUUAUUGGGCCUAAAGCAUCCGUAGCCGGCGCUGUAAGUUUUCGGUUAAAUCUGUACGCUCAACGUACAGGCUGCCGGGAAUACUGCAGCGCUAGGGAGUGGGAGAGGUAGACGGUACUCGGUAGGAAGAGGUAAAAUCCUUUGAUCUAUUGAUGACCACCUGUGGCGAAGGCGGUCUACCAGAACACGUCCGACGGUGAGGGAUGAAAGCUGGGGGAGCAAACCGGAUUAGAUACCCGAGUAGUCC
rnacentral:rRNA from 1 species